rnacentral:rRNA from 1 species
AGCUAACGUUGGCGGCGUGCCUAACACAUGCAAGUCGAACGCGUCUUGGGGGGCAACUCCCGAGAUGAGUGGCAGACGGGUGAGUAACACGUGGGUCAUCUUCCCUCGAGUGCGGAAUAAGCUCCCGAAAGGGGGUCUAAUACCGCAUGACACUCCGGGACAUAAGUCCUUGGGUCAAAGCCGCAAGGCGCUUGAGGAUGAGCCUGCGUCCUAUUAGCUAGUUGGUAGGGUAAUGGCCUACCAAGGCGAAGAUGGGUAGCCGGCCUGAGAGGGUGAACGGCCACACUGGGACUGAGACACGGCCCAGACUCCUACGGGAGGCAG